rnacentral:rRNA from 1 species
AUUGAACGCUGGCGGCAGGCCUAACACAUGCAAGUCGAGCGAGCGGCGGACGGGUGAGUAAUGUAUGGGAAACUGCCUGAUGGAGGGGGAUAACUACUGGAAACGGUAGCUAAUACCGCAUACCAUCGGAUGUGCCCAGAUGGGAUUAGCUAGUAGGUGGGGUAAUGGCUCACCUAGGCGACGAUCGCUAGCUGGUCUGAGAGGAUGACCGGGAACACUGGAACUGAGACACGGUCCAGACUCCUACGGGAGGCAGCAGUGGGGAAUAUUGGGCAAUGGACGAAAGCCUGAUGGAGCAAUGCCGCGUGAGUGAAGAAGGCCUUCGGGUUGUAAAGCACUUUCGGCGAGGAAGCGGUAUUUACAGAGGAAGCACCGGCUAACUCCGUGCCAGCAGCCGCGGUAAUUC